rnacentral:lncRNA from 1 species
CCCCCUCCCUGAAUGUGGGCGGAGCCGGAAGGCGACGCCGCUGGGAUUGCCAGCGCGGCAGGGGUGAGCGCUGUGGCUGCGGGGGCGGGGCCUACUCAGACAGUCCCAGCCGCAGGGUGGGAGGCGGGGCCAGCGCGGAGAUUGACAAGGGGGCGUUCCGGGAAAGCGUCUGCGUGGCGCCUAGUUAGAGACCGAGCCUGCGCAGUGAGAGGUGGGGAGGGGGCUAGGCGGAGGCUGGAAGGCUGGCCCCCGCCCUGGGUCGAGGUAGGAGCGGACUGGAGGCCCGGGCUCGCCUGGAAACUUAGAUUCUUGGUAUGGUUGGAGAUCUGAGGAGUGUCUUGCAACUGACAUGAUUGUAAAAGUUUUUUUUUUUUAAACGUAUGAAAUGAAACCUCUACUUCAAUCCUCCUACUGCGUACAGUCGCCAAUGUCAACAGUGGAACCGAUCUCUUCAUGGGAGGAGGACCGCAAGUUCGUCCUGCGAGCCUGGUGUCUUGUCUUCAUCAUCCUGGCAACCGCGAUGCUGCUCAGCGUGCUGGACGGGCGUAUGGCCUACCUGCAGGCGCCUACACCGGCUCGUGGGCUUCUGGACCAACUGCAAGAAGCAUACAUGUGCCGACCUGCGCCAAGUCACGGGUCAGUGGGGGAUGGGGCGGGCUUUGGGGCUCUCUAUGGGGUGGUGGUCUUUAGAGAUGAUCAACAGAGAAAACCUCUGGAGGAACCUCUUUGGGUGUUCUUGAUU